rnacentral:lncRNA from 1 species
AUAGCUACUUGGUAAAGAACACUUUUAUUAAUUAAUUAAAAAAGAAAAAUAACAAUAAUCAUCAUUUUUCUAGAAUGCAAAUGAGUUUGAUGUCUACCAGUUAAUCCUGAAGCUGUUCAAAUUACCAUGAGUUUUGCAACUGAGUUUGUGGAGUGAGUUGACCCUGAUGGUAAUUGGUUCAAGGAGACCUCUUGCAUCAUAGAACUGAAUUCUUGCUUCCUAAGAAUGUAGUUACAAAGGAGCAGUACCUGUCAUGCCGUGAGGAGUCUGUUUGAACUUGAUGGCUGUUCUUGGAUCAACUUUAAAACAGAUUUACAUCUUCUUAUAUGAACUUGCUUUUCCACUAAAAAAGUGUUCAUGCAUUGGUUUCCCAAAAGGUGCUCUCAGACAAUCUGAGAAUUUAAAGCCGGAGUAGGGUAGAUCUCAGUCUCUGGAACCCUAUAUCACAAGACACAGAAAUGUCUUAAACUGUAAGUGGAAGGUGUAAAUAUCUGAAAAGGUCAGCAGGUUUAUUAAAAUGAUUUGUUGCUUUUAUUUUGUUUAAGUACUUGAUGGCUUGCUUUUG